UUGAUGGUUUCUCUCUUUUAUAUCCUCGUGGUGAUAGAUACCAUCAGGAAUGAGGUGUUGAGCAUGAUUAAUAUAAGUUGUAAGAACUUGUUUUACAAUCUCCAAAAAAAUUACUACAAACGAAUGCCACAUCCUUAUUUUUCUAACUGUCUUCUAGCCUCAGCAAAGUUCUGCUGGUACCGCAGAGUUUGAUAACGUAUGGAAACAACUACAGUCAGCUAAACCACCUUGUGGGGAAACGUCUAGUCAGGGGGCAUCACUGGCUCAAGCAGCAGCAAUGUUACCACAAGUUACCUCCCAUGAAAAUGACUCAAAUUCUAACCAAAAUAACACAGCAACUACAAAAAUUGAUGUGCAAAGUUUAUUUUCACAAAUGGGUGGAACUGUUGGGACUAUGAAGGAACCAGUGGGGAAACAGAAGGAAGAUUCAGCAGAUAAACAAGCUAGACAUUCUAAAGUGGUGUCCAAUGAUGAGUUUGCAGCUAUGUUUAAAACUUUAGAAGAUGUGAGAGUGUCUGAUGAGAAGAAUGAGAAAGAGUCAGAGGUAUGUUCGUUGCUAGGUAGUCAAAACAUUGUACAUGUACAUGGGGUUUGUUAUAACCCCCCCCCCCCCCACAAAAUUGAAGUCUGGAGGGGGGCUAG
rnacentral:sRNA from 1 species